CAGAUGCCUCGCGAUCAGGGAAUAAACGAGCGUUUAGAGCAUACUAUUACCGAAUUGCAAAAGGUAAGGAUAAUAUUACUUAAAUUCUGGGUUGACUAACGUUAGCCUGGAAGCUGCAUGUACAUGAUCAGCCUCGUCAUUGUAUGAAGGAGCUGACUUAGCCAUUCGUAAUUUUUGAGAACCACGAAUUUUUAAAUACAGCCCGCAAUAAAGAGGAGUGGAUGUCAUUUCAAGUUAUCAGUAUGUUAAAGCGCUAGAAGAAGACGAACAGUCGACAAUAAUAAUUCGAAUUUUAUGAAUCCUUAAUUCGAGCUUCCGAAUAUGAACGUUGGCUGUUUUGAAAUGUCAACUUAUGUUGGGAAUUAAAAAAAAAAGGAAAGACCCAGUUAUAAGGUGCACUUAAUUUCGAUCCACUUUUAUAACUGAAAUAAUUUGAAUCCAGCGCAAUGACCACAGGUAUUUGUGGUAUUCAUUACCAUCAUGUGCCAGGUAAAGCGAUAUAUGAUUCGGUAAUUUUCCUAAUAAAUCGUUAAAUAACAUAAUAGUAAUUUACCCGAAAAUUAUAGAACGGUAAGAACAGGAUAAUUUGCUAACCUGUAAACAAAUUGUGCGAGUUUUUUUAUUGCGUUUUUAAUCCUGCAAAGACUAUAAAAAGCGAACAACUUGCCGUUUUCUCGUUCGCAAACGUCAGAAAUUCAGUUCGAGCCGCCAUUUUGUUUUUCUUUACUAGCAGGAUAUGAGCUAAUAUCCUGCUAGUAGAGAACCAAUCAGAUUGCAGAAAACCUCAUAUCAAGACCUUGUGCAUAUAAUCAUUUGUGUUCUUCUUUUCCAGCAAUGGCAGAUAGUAAUUAUAAUAACGGCGGCAGCAACAACGACAACAACAAAAACAACGACGACGAUGGCAAAAACGUUGGCGCCAGCAAGACAACAAGUAAGUUUUUUUCGUAUUACUUCCUGUAUAAGCUUUUGUCCUGUAUAGCUUUUAUAUACAUUGCUUGUUGUUUAUCUUUUGUUUUAUGAUUUAGAUUUAAGACUCAACAUGCCAAUUAGCGGAGGAGUUGGCGGCAGGGCAGGACUAAAGAAUUUUCUUCUUGGGGAAAAACCUGAACACAAGAUAUUUUAGUAAUAUGUAAUGUAUAUAAAAACAUAUUAGACAGGGGAAUUUCCAAAACCAUUUGAAAAACUCGUGAUUCCGUUUUAUUAUUGAAUAUCUAGCAACGGUGCGGAGCGUCGUUCCGGUCGUAAGCUCGGGUACUAAUUCCGCCCUCCUAUUUACACCAGGGAAAACGAAAGCAUUUGCCAAGUCUAAAGAUCAUUAAUGAUCGCGGGCGCGGGUGACCAACGGUGUAGAGUGGGUGGUCAUCCUUACGAGUCACAAAAUAUGUGGCGGAUUGGUCAUGAAUAGCGAAGACUGAUUGGUCAAAUUUAAAAUUUGUUGUUGUGUGACAAAUGACGACAGUGAAAUAACAAACAUUUCUUGCAAAUGAGCAAAUAUAUUGUAUUUUUGCAAGAUUUUGCAAAUUUCAAAACAUUUUUGAAAGCUAAAAGAAUGGAGAAAAUUUGCCGACGUUAAUGAGGGUAAGUUUGUUUUUAAUACUGAUGUAUUGUUUGCUUUAUAAUUGCCUUAAAAACUUAUACGAUCAUUGCGUAUAUAAGUGAAAAAAGACAGCGUAUAAUUUCAGUGUAAUUUUAUUAUCUGGUUUCUUGCACUUCAUUUGGUGAUAUUAAUAUUAGAAUGCUGUUGUUAGUGUUAGUAAUCCAAGUGAGUAUAUACAUUUUAA
rnacentral:lncRNA from 1 species